rnacentral:rRNA from 1 species
AACGAACGCUGGCGGCAUGCCUAACACAUGCAAGUCGAACGAGAUCUUCGGGUCUAGUGGCGCACGGGUGCGUAACGCGUGGGAAUCUGCCCUUUGCUUCGGAAUAACAGUUGGAAACGACUGCUACUACCGGAUGGUGUAGACAGUCCAAAGAUUUAUCGCCAGAGGAUGAGCCCGCGUAGGAUUAGCUAGUUGGUGUGGUAAAGGCGCACCAAGGCGACGAACCUUAGCUGGUCUGAGAGGAUGAUCAGCCACACUGGGACUGAGACACGGCCCAGACUCCUACGGGAGGCAGCAGUGGGGAAUAUUGGACGAUGGGCGAAAGCCUGAUCCAGCAAUGCCGCGUGAGUGAUGAAGGCCUUAGGGUUGUAAAGCUCUUUUACCCGGGAUGAUAAUGACAGUACCGGGAGAAUAAGCUCCGGCUAACUCCGUGCCAGCCGCCGCCGUAA